AAAGUUGUUCGUGCCCAGUGGGACCAACAAGAUUAAAUGUAAAUUUGUAUGUGCAUGAAAUUUUCUGUUACUGAUUUUUUUUUGUUAAAAUCCCUUGAAAUUGUAGUUUUAUGUUACUCCAUCCCUCAUAAAAUUGUACACCGUAUAUGUGUAAAAUCCACGUAUGUAUAUAGAUUGUGAUGGAAUAGGGAGCGAAAAAUAAGCGGUAGUUAUUAGCUUUUCUUUAUAGUUAGUAAAGAAUUGUUCGAUUUUUAUAAAAAAAAGAAAAAAAUCCUAGUUUAGUAAUAAUCGUUCUUGAAUUUGAAGAUAAAUCUUCGUCCCAAGUCUUCCGACGCAACGGGUAAAGUUGCCAUCCGCACAGAACUAAAGUUGACACUCUUACAGAUUAAAGUUGUCACCUUCACAGAACUAAAGUUGCCAUCCCGCGGAAUUUAACGUUUGCUCCCUAGCGUUCUGGCGCGGCGGGGUAAAGUUGCCACCCGUACAGAACUAAAGUUGCCAGUCUCACAGACAAAAGUUGCCACGUCUGCAGAACUAAAGUUACCAUGCCACUGAACUGAAGUUGUCACCCCACAAGAUACGUGGCGCGAUCUCAGGGACUGUCUUCUCAAUCGGAUGGUCAACAGAUCGUUCGCUCCGAGAGGCUAAAGAGCAAACGUUCGUUCAAUAUAAAUUCUGAUAUAGAUUCGCCU
rnacentral:lncRNA from 1 species